rnacentral:rRNA from 1 species
GAUGAACGCUGGCGGCGUGCCUAAUACAUGCAAGUCGAGCGAACAGACGAGGAGCUUGCUCCUCUGACGUUAGCGGCGGACGGGUGAGUAACACGUGGAUAACCUACCUAUAAGACUGGGAUAACUUCGGGAAACCGGAGCUAAUACCGGAUAAUAUAUUGCACCGCAUGGUUCAAUAGUGAAAGACGGUUUUGCUGUCACUUAUAGAUGGAUCCGCGCCGCAUUAGCUAGUUGGUAAGGUAACGGCUUACCAAGGCGACGAUGCGUAGCCGACCUGAGAGGGUGAGCGGCCACACUGGAACUGAGACACGGUCCAGACUCCUACGGGAGGCAGCAGUAGGGAAUCUUCCGCAAUGGGCGAAAGCCUGACGGAGCAACGCCGCGUGAGUGAUGAAGGUCUUCGGAUCGUAAAACUCUGUUAUGAGGGAAGAACAAAUGUGUAAGUAACUAUGCACGUCUUGACGGUACCUAAUCAGAAAGCCACGGCUAACUACGUG